rnacentral:rRNA from 1 species
GACGAACGCUGGCGGCGUGCCUAACACAUGCAAGUCGAGCGAGGGACUUCGGUCCCUAGCGGCGGACGGGUGAGUAACACGUGGGUAACCUGCCUCAUAGAGGGGGAUAGCCUCCCGAAAGGGAGAUUAAUACCGCAUAAGAUCAUGCUUUCGCAUGGAAGAAUGAUUAAAGGAGAAAUCCGCUAUGAGAUGGACCCGCGGCGCAUUAGCUAGUUGGUGAGGUAACGGCUCACCAAGGCGACGAUGCGUAGCCGACCUGAGAGGGUGAUCGGCCACAUUGGAACUGAGACACGGUCCAGACUCCUACGGGAGGCAGCAGUGGGGAAUAUUGCACAAUGGGCGAAAGCCUGAUGCAGCAACGCCGCGUGAGUGAAGAAGGCCUUCGGGUUGUAAAGCUCUGUCUUUUGGGACGAUAAUGACGGUACCAAAGGAGGAAGCCACGGCUAACUACGUGCCAGCAGCCGCGGUAAUACGUAGGUGGCAAGCGUUGUCCGGAUUUACUGGGCGUAAAGGAUGCGUAGGUGGAUAUUUAAGUGGGAUGUGAAAUACCCGGGCUCAACUUGGGUGCUGCAUUCCAAACUGGAUAUCUAGAGUGCAGGAGAGGAAAGUGGAAUUCCUAGUGUAGCAGUGAAAUGCGUAGAUAUUAGGAGGAACACCAGUGGCGAAGGCGGCUUUCUGGACUGUAACUGACACUGAGGCAUGAAAGCGUGGGGAGCAAACAGGAUUAGAUACCCUGGUAGUCCACGCCGUAAACGAUGGGUACUAGGUGUGGGAGUUGUCAUGACUUCCGUGCCGUCGUUAACACAGUAAGUACCCCGCCUGGGGAGUACGAUCGCAAGAUUA